rnacentral:lncRNA from 1 species
CUCAUGUUCCAGUCUUUGGCCAAGACUCUUACAUGGGGGUCUGAUGUGUGGCCAACACUGCACCGGUAUUGCGACACUGUACUGAAUCAGACAGAUGUCCACUGGACACUUGCAGAAAGAAGGGCAAGCUAAACACAUUCCAUGAGCUGAUCCUAGCACCACCUCUUACUGUGGAAAACCAAUCAUUCCUACAUAUUAACCACAAAUCAGUGACCAAGAAAUAUCUUCAGGACAAAUGUAAAGCCAAGCAAAUGAAUUAUGAUUUUUUCCAAAAUUCCAGACGGCUUUUGAAAAUUAUCCCAAACCCUUCAGGCCGACGUUGGCCUCCUCUCCACCAGAGGGAGAUGCAGGGAAGACGCGCAUUUCGCUAGGCGGUGGUACUGAUCUAGGCCGCAACCUGUCCAUUCAGGUGCACUUCCGCCGGCGCCGACCACGUGGAGGCGAUUUCCUGUCUCGUGGCAGCAUUUCCUCACUGUCAGGCGCAGCUUCCCAAGAUCAAUCGUCUCGCGUCGUCCGCUGCUGCCUGUUUUGUCUCGUCCGCCGCCCAGCGCUACGGCUCCAAGGCCUUGCUGCUGCGCGGCCACAUGGAAAUGGAUGGAAAUUCCCCCGUGGUCGGCGUCGCUGGUUCUGCAAUAGUUAGCGCUCCCUCCCUCCGCGCUGCCAGUCCGGAGACCAGAUGUCCCGAUUCUCAAUGUUUGACACUUAUGGAACAAAUGAAAAACGAGAUGGAAAGAAGAGAAGCCCACUGCUGUAAGGAGUGUCACAUGUCUGCUGAUGAGUGUAUGAGAGGUGUCCUCAGGGAGAACACGGAUGGUGAUGUCUCAGGUAAGUGGUGGUGUGCUUUGUUCUCUAGAACUCAGGUUUAUUGGGGGGGGGGGUCAGUGGAGUUUAGGUGCUACGGUGUGGGGAGUGAGAGCUUAGAUGAGGACUGCUUCCAUUUGCUCCUAGUUGUCCCCUUGGCCAAAGGACAGUUGGGCCCUCUUUAUUCGUGGGACUGCUACAGAGAAGGUGCUUCCAGAGCCAGGUUUGGGCUCCGAGCAUCCCUGAUGAAGGCCCUGUGUUAA